UACGUAGGGUGCGAGCGUUAAUCGGAAUUACUGGGCGUAAAGCGUGCGCAGGCGGUUAUAUAAGACAGAUGUGAAAUCCCCGGGCUUAACCUGGGAACUGCGUUUGUGACUGUAUAACUUGAGUGUGGCAGAGGGGGGUGGAAUUCCACGUGUAGCAGUGAAAUGCGUAGAGAUGUGGAGGAACACCGAUGGCGAAGGCAGCCCCCUGGGUCAACACUGACGCUCAUGCACGAAAGCGUGGGGAGCAAACAGGAUUAGAUACCCUGGUAGUCCACGCCCUAAACGAUGCGAACUAGGUGUUGGGGAAGGAGACUUUCUUAGUACCGCAGCUAACGCGUGAAGUUCGCCGCCUGGGGAGUACGGUCGCAAGAUUAAA
rnacentral:rRNA from 1 species